rnacentral:sRNA from 1 species
GGGAGGAAGAAGAGGAAGAAGAAGAAGUAGAAGUCAUUAUGCACAGGGAGCUUCGACCUACUGCAGCCCCAACACUGCUUACGGAUUGAUGGAAGAAAACUGCAGCUCUGCGUUCGGAGGACAGCAGCAUCUCCCGUCACCCCUGGACACCUUCCAUUGCAGAGGCUUCUAACUUCCUGAGCAGUUAUGGAGUAAAGGAAUACCAGGCCCUGUGCAGAUCUGUCGUGAGCCUGAUUAUACAGCCCUCCUGGGAACCUGUCUUCUUGCUGCUUCAUAAAGGCUGGGGCUUCUCUCUUUGUUUCCCAUGUAGAGGUGGGGGCUUUGGGGCUGGCCCCUUCUCUGUGAAUUAUUUGCAACCUUUUCCUGCUCCCCUCACCCCACCUCCACCCUCCGUACUAUGACCCUGGGAAGCUGGGAGGGGCUGGAGGGGUGGAAACUGGGAUUCUUGGCAGCUCCUCGCUCCAGUGGUAUGAUCAGGUUGGCCAAGGUAGAGUACACCAGCUAUGAGCUCUACCUCCCUGGUGGUAGGUUUGGGGCUGAUAAGAACCCUGCUUCCUGCUGCUCUGCUCCCUAGAGCACUCCAGAGGCCCACUGUGCCCCUUAAUCCUGUUCUGCGUUUUCAGAUAGCUGCCGCUUCGUGACUAAAGGCCCUGAGGCAUUUCUUUCCUAAGGGGAAGCUGACUGGCACUGUUAAUGCCUCGCACACACACACCACACUGCCACCACCCCCUGGCUACUGUGUGUAGGCUGUCUGUGAAGUAUGAUAAAAAAAAAAUCAAUCAGAACCAAAGAUAAAGAUACAGGAGCAAAGAGGUUUUACUUGGAGAAAGUAGAAACAGAGCAACCUACACGUGUUGCCAUCCCCCUCUAAGAAGAAAACCAGCCAGCACUGGUACACCACGCUCUCCUAGAGCUGACCAGACCCAUCUUGAAGAAAGAUGAUGAGAACCAGGCACUGGGACAGCCAGCCUCAAGAUCUGGACCACAGGGACAUCCGCCAAUUCUGGAUUGCAGGUCACUCCAGAGGCCAAGAAGCAGCAGCACAGGGGUGAAGUCUGUGACCAGGAGCCUGAGAUCAGGGCAGCUCCCAGCCCCAUGCCCGACAUAUGGCCAACAGACACCUGGUUUUAGUCACACCCUGUAAAACCCAGCUGAGACUGAGGGAAACCUGCCACCAGUUCCUGGAUUAGAAGAGGGAAGGCUGUGAUGUCUAUCCAGUGGUUCUCCAUAUGAGCCUCAGGGUCUCUUCUUAAAGCCUGGGCUGGCUACAAAACAAUUCCCCUGCCUCAGUCCCUGAGUGUUGGCGUUAUAGAUAUUUGCUACCAUACUUGGCCUCAGGGGCAGUCCCAGUAGACCUGAGGCUUGAGUCAGGACUCUUGGUAGACACAACGGAAGACAUGGUGCUGCCCUGCGUUCAGUAAGGAACCAAGCUUCACCAGAUGAGAGGCUGCCUCCUUCUAGGACCGGGUCUUUUUUUUUUUUUUUUCUUUUUUUCGG